rnacentral:rRNA from 1 species
AAUCCCGUGAACCAUCGAGUCUUUGAACGCAAGUUGCGCCCAAAGCCUUCGGGCCGAGGGCACGUCUGCCUGGGCGUCACGCAUCGCGUCGCCCCCCCUCCAUCCCCCCCUCGCGGGAGGAUGCGGCGCGGGGGGGCGGAGAAUGGCCUCCCGUGCGCUCCGCGCGCGGCCGGCCC